GCGCUGAGCUAUCAUGCCAUGUCAGCAAAAAGGUCAAAAAGAUAUUUUCCGAAAUGGGCUCUAUCUUUCCCACUAUAUCGUUCCCCCAAAAGCUGAAAAUUGUCCCUCUAGCUUAAGCUUAGUUUAGCUUCAGCUUGAAGGCUUGAAGCUUCCAAGAGUCUCCAAAAUUAGGGUUUCGUUAUGGGGAGUCCUCGAUCCAGAACCGGAGAUGGCGCGGUGCCGUGCGAUUUCUGCGCUGAGCAGAGUGCGGUGCUGUACUGUAGGGCGGACUCUGCGAAGCUGUGCCUGUUCUGCGACCAGCACGUGCACUCGGCCAACUUGCUGUCCCGGAAGCACGUGCGCUCCCAGAUCUGUGACAACUGCGGGUCCGAGCCGGUCUUGGUUCGGUGCGCCACCGACAACCUGGUGCUGUGCCACCAGUGCGACUGGGACGCCCAUGGUGGCUGUUCCGUGUCCGCCUCACACGAUCGCAGCCAAAUCGAAGGAUUUUCUGGGUGCCCCUCAGCUCGCGAGCUCGCUUCCCUCUUGGGCGUCGAUCUCGAGGAUAAGAAGGUAAAUCCGAAUCCAUCUGGGCCGUUGAUCCAGAGCUGGAGGACUGGUGGGGAUGUGAUGAACGACCCGUCGUUGUGGGGGUACGACAAGUCGAACGCGGGGGUGGUGUGUCUGCCAGACCUGAUUGUGCCGAGCAAGACGGUGGUAAAGAGACAGGGCGGUCGGAGUGGUGGGAAUAGGGGGCUGGUGAUGUGUAGGCAGCUGGUGGAGCUUUUAAGGAGGAGUGGUGACGGGUGGGAGGGGCUGGUUGGUUUGGGGAGUGGCGGUGAUGGUGAUGGUGGGAUUGAUGGGUUUGUGGAUGCCAGCCCUGUCGUUGCUCAGCAACAACAGCAACAACAGCAACCACAGCAAGAAGCGCCGGUCACGGCUUUGCUUAUGAUGGAUUUGAAGGAGAGCGAUCGCAUUGUGGAUGGUGAUGUGUUGUGGGACAGAAAUCCCAGAAGUCAGAGCACCCAGAUAUGGGAUUUUAAUCUUGGACUGUUGAGGGGUCAUGAAGAAACGGGUACACUGGAAGUUGCCUAUGGUGCAAAUGAUGCAGGAUUUAUGAUAAAAAAUUUUGGUGAACUUACGAAAGAAACACCUUUGAAUAAUACAAAAAUGAUGGGAGAUAUGUUCCAGAUGAAUUGCCCUAUUGCACGUGACGAUAUGGCGUUCAAUAAUAUCUCGAAUAAUCCCACAACCAGCCUAGGGCCAGCAACAUCUGAGAGCAACAACCUACCUGUAGGAAGGCCAUCGUCAGGUAAAGCAAGAGGUUCCAGUGGUUCUAAAGAGUUCCAGCUUGUGGAACAACCUUUUCUUGUCGGGGGUGACCGUGUGGGAACAGCAGCACCUACCAAGGCAGAUAUGGAGCUACUGGCACAGAACAGAGGCAAUGCCAUGCAACGGUACAAGGAGAAGAAGAAAAACCGAAGAUAUGAGAAGCACAUACGGUACGAGUCGAGGAAAGCAAGAGCCGAUACUAGGAAGCGAGUCAAGGGUCGGUUUGUGAAAGCUAGUGAAGCUCCUGAUGGUUAAUUGCAUGCUGAGAUGACCUUCUCCUUUACUCACUGUGUGUAAAUAUGUUUGAUCAUAUUCUUCUCACAGUAAAUAAAAGCACAUGGACGACGUUCUGUAACUUGGACUAAAACGUGGCACAAUCAACAGCGCCACCACCGACAAGAUCACUGGGUGAUGUUCUGGUUUAUGUUAAAUUAUUGCAUUAAGGUCUGAAAAGGCUGCGGAAUAUGGCAGAUAGUAGCUCGGUGGCCCAUUAGGUUUCACGGUCAUUUGUUUAGAGGCAUUAAACAACUUAGAUUUGUCAUACAGGCUACAGUAUAUUAUAUAAUAAUGCUUGCUGUUUCUGAUC